AUUUAAGUAGCUUAAAUUUAGAGCAUAACACUGAAGAUGU
rnacentral:tRNA from 1 species